UACGUAGGGUGCAAGCGUUGUCCGGAAUUAUUGGGCGUAAAGAGCUCGUAGGCGGUUUGUCGCGUCUGCUGUGAAAUCCCGAGGCUCAACCUCGGGCCCGCAGUGGGUACGGGCAGACUAGAGUGCGGUAGGGGAGAUUGGAAUUCCUGGUGUAGCGGUGGAAUGCGCAGAUAUCAGGAGGAACACCGAUGGCGAAGGCAGAUCUCUGGGCCGUAACUGACGCUGAGGAGCGAAAGCGUGGGGAGCGAACAGG
rnacentral:rRNA from 1 species